UUGUUCUCACCUAAUCAUGUUCAAAUACGGAUACAAUCAUUCACAUGAUGCAGCAAAAUAAUGAGGUUGCUCCCUGUAGCAUAAAAGAAGAAAAUAUACUAUGAUAAUCACAUUUUCUGAACUGUAAUCACACGCAAAUAUGAACUCCUGCCUCUACAUGAUCGUCUUGGCAUUGGCCAUCGUAUUUCUUACAUUGCAUGCAGAAGCGACCGACGACUUGACUCGUGCUUCCAGGAUGACUAGGCAGAGCAACAAUGACCAGGUGGAGGUAGAUAUCUGCUUGUUGCAGCUGAAACUUCCAUUGUCUGCAUUGCUUCAGCUGCUCAAUUUACAGAAUUUGGGCUAGAUUUAUUUCUGUCAUAAAAAUCUUAAAUUUUGUAGAAUGUUCAGAUUUAUUUUUAUCGAUAUUUCACGAACAAUAAAAGUAUGUUGAAAAA